rnacentral:SRP_RNA from 1 species
GCCAGGUGCAGUGGCACACACCUGUAGUCCCAGCUACCAGGGAGGCUGAGACAGGAGGAUCACUUGAGCCCAGGAGUUCAAGGCUGCAGUGAGCUCUGAUUGCGCCACUGCACUCCAGCCUGGGCAACAGAGUGAGACCCUGUCUGUC